rnacentral:hammerhead_ribozyme from 1 species
AUGCAAUUGAUGAGUCCCAAAUAAGACGAAACGCGCUUCUUGAAU